GAUCAUUCAUUUGUAUAACAUUGAGAGGACAUGCCUUCUUAUAGGAGAAUGAAUCAACAAACAAAAGCACAUUAGUCUUAGUAAUGAGCAACGUUAGAGGCUUGAGAACUGUUCAUUGUGUCUGUCAGUGUUUAUACUGUAUCUCUGAGUGUCUGUAUGGGUGAGUGUGCAUAUUAAUGUACAAUACAAUUAUCAGAUGUAGAAGAGUGUAUGAUUAAAUGGUAUACCUGACCAUAUGUGUUAACCUCUACUUGAGUGUCUUUUGAAGUAUGAGUGUGUUUAUGAGUAAGUGAAUAAACAAGCUUGUGUGUGUGUGUGUGUGUGUGUGUGUGUGUGUAUGCAUACAUGCCUGCAUUGGUGCAUCCCCCAGUGUCUGUGUGUGUCCUCAACUCCCUCCCCCCUGUUUUCCCUAGACAGGAGUGUCAUUCCUGCUUAAGCCAGUCUGAGCUCAACCCUAAGUGAGCAGUGUCUGGCCCCCUAGUUCCGAGCCUAAAUGGCUGGCUGAGUGGCGGUAAUUGCCUCCCACCCUGUCAGUUCCUACUUGGAGCAGCCGCAGUGAAUGAACGCCGGGCCGAAGCAGCAUGGCCGAGGUUGGGCCACACACAUUGCCUGGCCAGGCCGGGGGAAGCCGGCCCCUCUGUCCUGUCUGAGAAACCAACGGGCCCCUAAUGCGUUUAGAAAACGGGCCGAAGACAUCCGUGGGGUCAUUUUCAGACGAUGAGACGCGGCACAAGGACAAAAGAAACGUUUACUUAUUUAAACUGAAAGGUCGUUAGCGGAGAGACGCAAAGGGUCUUUGACAAAUGGAGUCAGGGCCACUUAACGUUCCAUUCUUGGAGAGAGGAGGUAUUUAAGAGAAGAAAAAAGAGAAAAUGGCUUUAACGUCUACAUUCAGCUGGUCAGCGCACUGCAUUUUAGGAGAUUUUUUCCUAUUUUCAUGCACUGCAGUUGGUUUUACAUAAACAAUGCAUGACACACCAAAGAAAACAAGAUAGCAUGUUACUUUCUAUACAUCACACUAACCACAGAGCCAACAGCCUUUAGGCUAAAGCCUGCCUGCCUGCCUUGCCUGCCUGCCUUGCCUGCCUUGCCUGCCUUGCCUGCCUUGCCUGCCUUGCCUGCCUUGCCUGCCUUGCCUGCCUUGCCUGCCUGCCUGCCUGCCUGCCUGCCUGCCUGCCUGCCUGCCUGCCUGCCUGCCUGCCUGCCUGCCGUUAAUCAGAAGAACACACUCCGUUCACAGGGGAGGCCAUGUCGAGGAGGCAAAUGUGUCCUCUGCUCAAAGUGCAAAUCUGAGAGAUGUAAAAUAAAGGUGAUAACCAGGGUGUUUAAAUGUACAAGGGGAGGGAGAAGGGAGAAAGGGGGAGGAAAGGAAGGAUAGAGCCCUGAGUACCAGGCCAUUAGAACCUGAUGGUCAUUAGUGUACUACCAACGCAUGUCCUGAGUGCAUUAGAGGCGAUUACCAUGACUCAACGUUCACAUGGAAUUUUACUGUGCUCAUGACUCAUGACCGAUGGUGUGGCGGUAAUACGGUCACCACAACAACCCUAGGUGCAGCAAUAUAUAGAAAAUUGAAGACAAAAAAUGUUGUGUUACAAGCUCAUUUAAACCGUCUGAAGCAUAGAAGGCUUGGCUGUUGAAGAUAGAAAUGACAUGUCAUGUUAUGUAUUGAGCUGACAUGUUAUGUAUUGAGCUGUCAUGUUAUGUAUUGAGAUGUCAUGUUAUGUAUAGAGCUGACAUGUAAUAUAUAUAUAUAUAUAUAUAUAUAUAUAUAUAUAUAUAUAUACACAUAUAUAUGUACAGUUGAAGUCGGAAGUUUACAUACACCUUAGCCAAAUACAUUUAAACUCAGUUUUUUCACAAUGCCUGACUUUUAAUCCUCGUAACAAUUCAGUUUUAGGUGACUAUUGUAGCUGGAAACGUCUGAUUUUUAAUGGAAUAUCUACAUAGGCAUACAGAGGCCCAUUAUCAGCAACCAUCACUCCUGUGUUCCA
rnacentral:lncRNA from 13 species